rnacentral:rRNA from 1 species
GUGAGGAAUAUUGCGCAAUGGAGGCAACUCUGACGCAGCCAUGCCGCGUGCAGGAAGAAGGCGCUACGCGUUGUAAACUGCUUUUAACCGGGAAGAAACCCCAGGACGUGUCCUGGGUUGACGGUACCGGAGGAAUAAGCACCGGCUAACUUCGUGCCAGCAGCCGCGGUAAUACGAAGGGUGCAAGCGUUAUCCGGAUUCAUUGGGUUUAAAGGGUGCGUAGGCGGAGCGUUAAGUCAGUGGUGAAAUCCUGCAGCUUAACUGUAGACUUGCCAUUGAUACUGGCGCUCUUGAGUGCGCUUGAAGUGGGCGGAAUGUGCCGUGUAGCGGUGAAAUGCUUAGAUAUGGAACAGAACACCAAUUGCGAAGGCAGCUCACUAAGGCGAUACUGACGCUGAGGCACGAAAGCGUGGGGAUCGAACAGGAUUAGAUACCCUGGUAGUCC